rnacentral:ncRNA from 1 species
CAAGAGUGUGCUUUGGGCUAUACAUGCGCUACAUUGACUGGCUCAGUGUGUGUCUGCCCUACACCAGCUGGCAUGGGUGACUCAUUGAACCCCAUUUGUGAUGGGGAUCGGAAAUUGCAAUUAUUCCUCAUGAACGAGGAAUUCCCAGUAAGUGCAGAUUAUAAGCUUGCGUUGAUUAA